ACGACGCGUGCGGGCAUGGCCUACAACAUGCAAGUCGAACGGAGUUAUUAUCUAGAAGUUCUUCGGGAUGGAAGGAUAAGAACUUAGUGGCGGACGGGUAGAGUAACGCGUGGGUAACCUGCCCGUUUUUGUAGGGGAACAACUUUCGAGAAAUCGGAGCUAAUACCGCAUAAUAAUAGAGGAUCGCAUGAUUCUUUAAGGAAAGAUGGCCUCUGAAGAUGCUAUCGCAAAAGGAUGGACCCGCGUCUGAUUAGCUAGUUGGAAGGGUAACGGCCUACCAAGGGCAACGAUCAGUAGCCGGCCUGAGAGGGUGAACGGCCACAUUGGGACUGAGACACGGCCCAAACUCCUACGGGAGGCAGCAGUGGGGAAUCUUCCGCAAUGGGCGAAAGCCUGACGGAGCGAUGCCGCGUGAGUGAAGAAGGCCUUCGGGUUGUAAAACUCUGUCCUUAUCGAAGAGAGGUAGGUAUGUGAAUAAUGUACCUAUAGGACGGUAGAUAAGGAGGAAGCCCCGGCUAACUACGUG
rnacentral:rRNA from 1 species